rnacentral:rRNA from 1 species
UACGGAGGGUGCAAGCGUUAUCCGGAUUUAUUGGGUUUAAAGGGUGCGUAGGCGGCCUAUUAAGUCAGGGGUGAAAGACGGUAGCUCAACUAUCGCAGUGCCCUUGAUACUGAUGGGCUUGAAUGAACUAGAGGUAGGCGGAAUGUGACAAGUAGCGGUGAAAUGCAUAGAUAUGUCACAGAACACCGAUUGCGAAGGCAGCUUACUAAAGUGUGAUUGACGCUGAGGCUCGAAAGCGUGGGGAUCAAACAGG